rnacentral:rRNA from 1 species
AGCGUACACGGUGGAUGCCCUGGCAGUCAGAGGCGAUGAAGGACGUGCUAAUCUGCGAAAAGCGCCGGUAAGGUGAUAUGAACCGUUAUAACCGGCGAUGUCCGAAUGGGGAAACCCAGUGUGACUCGUCACACUAUCAUUAACUGAAUCCAUAGGUUAAUGAGGCGAACCGGGGGAACUGAAACAUCUAAGUACCCCGAGGAAAAGAAAUCAACCGAGAUUCCCCCAGUAGCGGCGAGCGAACGGGGAGGAGCCCAGAGCCUGAAUCAGCAUGUGUGUUAGUGGAAGCGUCUGGAAAGGCGCGCGAUACAGGGUGACAGCCCCGUACACAAAAGCGCAUGUGCUGUGAGCUCGAUGAGUAGGGCGGGACACGUGGUAUCCUGUCUGAAUAUGGGGGGACCAUCCUCCAAGGCUAAAUACUCCUGACUGACCGAUAGUGAACCAGUACCGUGAGGGAAAGGCGAAAAGAACCCCGGCGAGGGGAGUGAAAAAGAACCUGAAACCGUGUACGUACAAGCAGUGGGAGCACAGGUUUACCUGUGUGACUGCGUACCUUUUGUAUAAUGGGUCAGCGACUUAUAUUCUGUAGCAAGGUUAACCGAAUAGGGGAGCCGGAGGGAAACCGAGUCUUAAUUGGGCGUUAAGUUGCAGGGUAUAGACCCGAAACCCGGUGAUCUAGCCAUGGGCAGGUUGAAGGUUGGGUAACACUAACUGGAGGACCGAACCGACUAAUGUUGAAAAAUUAGCGGAUGACCUGUGGCUGGGGGUGAAAGGCCAAUCAAACCGGGAGAUAGCUGGUUCUCCCCGAAAGCUAUUUAGGUAGCGCCUCGUGAAUUCAUCUCCGGGGGUAGAGCACUGUUUCGGCCAGGGGGCCAUCCCGGCUUACCAACCCGAUGCAAACUGCGAAUACCGGAGAAUGUUAUCACGGGAGACACACGGCGGGUGCUAACGUCCGUCGUGAAGAGGGAAACAACCCAGACCGCCAGCUAAGGUCCCAAAGUCAUGGUUAAGUGGGAAACGAUGUGGGAAGGCCCAGACAGCCAGGAUGUUGGCUUAGAAGCAGCCAUCAUUUAAAGAAAGCGUAAUAGCUCACUGGUCGAGUCGGCCUGCGCGGAAGAUGUAACGGGGCUAAACCAUGCACCGAAGCUGCGGCAGCGACACUAAGUGUUGUUGGGUAGGGGAGCGUUCUGUAAGCCUGCGAAGGUGUGUCGUGAGGCAUGCUGGAGGUAUCAGAAGUGCGAAUGCUGACAUAAGUAACGAUAAUGCGGGUGAAAAACCCGCACGCCGGAAGACCAAGGGUUCCUGUCCAACGUUAAUCGGGGCAGGGUGAGUCGACCCCUAAGGCGAGGCCGAAAGGCGUAGUCGAUGGGAAACAGGUUAAUAUUCCUGUACCUGGUGUUACUGCGAAGGGGGGACGGAGAAGGCUAUGUUGGCCGGGCGACGGUUGUCCCGGUUUAAGCGUGUAGGCUGGUUUUCCAGGCAAAUCCGGAAAAUCAAGGCUGAGGCGUGACGACGAGGCACUACGGUGCUGAAGCAACAAAUGCCCUGCUUCCAGGAAAAGCCUCUAAGCCUCAGGUAACAUCAGAUCGUACCCGAAACCGACACAGGUGGUCAGGUAGAGAAUACCAAGGCGCUUGAGAGAACCCGGGUGAAGGAACUAGGCAAAAUGGUGCCGUAACUUCGGGAGAAGGCACGCUGACACGUAGGUGAAGCGGUUUACCCGUGGAGCUGAAGUCAGUCGAAGAUACCAGCUGGCUGCAACUGUUUAUUAAAAACACAGCACUGUGCAAACACGAAAGUGGACGUAUACGGUGUGACGCCUGCCCGGUGCCGGAAGGUUAAUUGAUGGGGUCAGCGCAAGCGAAGCUCCUGAUCGAAGCCCCGGUAAACGGCGGCCGUAACUAUAACGGUCCUAAGGUAGCGAAAUUCCUUGUCGGGUAAGUUCCGACCUGCACGAAUGGCGUAAUGAUGGCCAGGCUGUCUCCACCCGGGACUCAGUGAAAUUGAACUCGCUGUGAAGAUGCAGUGUACCCGCGGCAAGACGGAAAGACCCCGUGAACCUUUACUAUAGCUUGACACUGAACACUGGUCCUUGAUGUGCAGGAUAGGUGGGAGGCUUUGAAGUGUGGACGCCAGUCUGCAUGGAGCCGUCCUUGAAAUACCACCCUUUAAUGGCUGGUGUUCUAACGUAGACCCGUGAACCGGGUUGCGGACAGUGUCUGGUGGGUAGUUUGACUGGGGCGGUCUCCUCCUAAAGCGUAACGGAGGAGCACGAAGGUUGGCUAAUCCUGGUCGGACAUCAGGAGGUUAGUGCAAUGGCAUAAGCCAGCUUGACUGCGAGCGUGACGGCGCGAGCAGGUGCGAAAGCAGGUCAUAGUGAUCCGGUGGUUCUGAAUGGAAGGGCCAUCGCUCAACGGAUAAAAGGUACUCCGGGGAUAACAGGCUGAUACCGCCCAAGAGUUCAUAUCGACGGCGGUGUUUGGCACCUCGAUGUCGGCUCAUCACAUCCUGGGGCUGAAGUAGGUCCCAAGGGUAUGGCUGUUCGCCAUUUAAAGUGGUACGCGAGCUGGGUUUAGAACGUCGUGAGACAGUUCGGUCCCUAUCUGCCGUGGGCGCUGGAGAACUGAGGGGGGCUGCUCCUAGUACGAGAGGACCGGAGUGGACGCAUCACUGGUGUUCGGGUUGUCAUGCCAAUGGCACUGCCCGGUAGCUAAAUGCGGAAGAGAUAAGUGCUGAAAGCAUCUAAGCACGAAACUUGCCCCGAGAUGAGUUCU